rnacentral:misc_RNA from 1 species
CCGCCUUGCGAUUGGCCGAGAACGACCUCGGGCACGAGCGCCUGACCGCAUUCAAGGACGCUGUAGGCUUUGGCGAUGCGCAAUGUCCCCGUUUUGCGCUCGAUCUCCACGCGAACAAGCGUUCCGCACAUCGAGGUGUAGACCGUCCCAAUCCGGUUGUUGUUGGUGGGUGGAAAUUUGACGCUCACGCGAUUAACGCGAUCGAAUUUUCCCCCGCCUUUGCGGAUGGCAAGCGCGUCGAUUUCGCCCCUCCAUU